rnacentral:rRNA from 1 species
UACGUAGGGUGCGCGCGUUGUCCGGAAUUAUUGGGCGUAAAGGGCUCGUAGGCGGUCUGUCGCGUCGGGAGUGAAAACUCAGGGCUUAACCCUGAGCCUGCUUUCGAUACGGGCAGACUGGAGGUAUGCAGGGGAGAACGGAAUUCCUGGUGUAGCGGUGAAAUGCGCAGAUAUCAGGAGGAACACCGGUGGCGAAGGCGGUUCUCUGGGCAUGUCCUGACGCUGAGGAGCGAAAGUGUGGGGAGCGAACAGG